CCCUUAGAUGUUCUGGGCCGCACGCGCGCUACACUGACGAUGGCAACGAGUUUUUCCUUCGCCGAAAGGUGUGGGUAAUCUUUUGAAACAUCGUCGUGCUGGGGAUAGAUCAUUGCAAUUUUUGAUCUUGAACGAGGAAUUCCUAGUAAGCGCGAGUCAUCAGCUCGCGUUGAUUACGUCCCUGCCCUUUGUACACACCGCCCGUCGCUACUACCGAUUGAAUGGUUUAGUGAGGACUCCUGAUUGGCGCCGCCGCCCCGGCAACGGAGCAGCGGACUGCCGAAAAGUUGUUCAAACUUGAUCAUGUAGAGGAAGUAAAAGUCGUAACA
rnacentral:rRNA from 1 species